rnacentral:RNase_P_RNA from 1 species
UGAGUCGGCCGGACGGUCGCGUGGGCAAGGCUUCAACGAGCGCUCACGAGGAAAGUCCGGGCUCCAUAGGACAAGGGUGCCGGGUAACUCCCGGUGAAGGCGACUUUAAGGAAAGUGCAACAGAAAGCAAACCGCCUCUUUUCGGAGAGGUAAGGAUGAAACGGCGGGGUAAGAGCCCACCGGCGGAUCGGAGACGAUUCGGCCAUGUAAACCCCACCCGGAGCAAUGCCAUGGAGAGACAUUACUGUGGUCCGCAGGUCUCGAGGAGGCGGCUUGAGCCGUUCAGAAAUGUUCGGCCUAGAUAGAUGAUCGUCUAAGACAGAACCCGGCUUACAGGUUGACUCAGAUA